rnacentral:rRNA from 1 species
AACCACUCUCGUCUAUCGAUAUCUCGGCUCUCACAUCGAUGAACAAAGUACCCAACUGCCUAUACUUGUUGUGAAUUGCACAAACCCCUGAACCAUCUAGUCUUUGAACACACGUUGCACCCAAAGCCAUUAUGACCACGGCACGUCUGCCUGGGCGUCAC